rnacentral:rRNA from 1 species
CCUACGGGAGGCAGCAGUGAGGAAUAUUGGACAAUGGGCGCAAGCCUGAUCCAGCCAUGCCGCGUGCAGGAUGACGGUCCUAUGGAUUGUAAACUGCUUUUGCACAGGAAGAAACAACAUUACGUGUAAUGUCUUGACGGUACUGUGAGAAUAAGGAUCGGCUAACUCCGUGCCAGCAGCCGCGGUAAUACGGAGGAUCCAAGCGUUAUCCGGAAUCAUUGGGUUUAAAGGGUCCGUAGGCGGUUUAGUAAGUCAGUGGUGAAAGCCCAUCGCUCAACGGUGGAACGGCCAUUGAUACUGCUAGACUUGAAUUAUUAGGAAGUAACUAGAAUAUGUAGUGUAGCGGUGAAAUGCUUAGAGAUUACAUGGAAUACCAAUUGCGAAGGCAGGUUACUACUAAUGGAUUGACGCUGAUGGACGAAAGCGUGGGUAGCGAACAGGAUUAGAUACCCUGGUAGUCCACGCCGUAAACGAUGGAUACUAGCUGUUGGGAGCGAUCUCAGUGGCUAAGCGAAAGUGAUAAGUAUCCCACCUGGGGAGACGUUCGCAAGAAUGAAACUUAAAUGAAAUUGACGG